rnacentral:lncRNA from 13 species
AUGGCAGGAGGUGGGAAUUUGGGAGGGCUUGGAGAUUUAGGUUUUGGAGGGGGAGGCGAGGGAGUUUUGACAGGAAGGACAGGGUUGGCAUUAGAGGACAGGACUGGAAGGACAGGGCUGGGAGUGGGAGGCAGGACCUUCUUCAGUGGAGGGUCAGGUGGAGGUGAGCUGGGAGGAGAGUCCACGACAUCAUGGUCAUCGAAUUCGGGAGGGGGAGGGAGUAAUGGCAUGCAUAGGUUCUCGUCAUCCCUGAAAAGGCUAGAGGGUGAAUCAAUCCUCUGCUCUCCACUUUGCUUAUCCAUGGCUAGACUGCUGGAGGAUGAGGAUCUAGAGGUGGGCAGAAUCCUUUUAACUACUGGAUUUGCAAUUGGCCCCUUCACCGCUGACUCAAUAAUCUGGGGUUUUGCUGGAAUCUGGAUUACCACUGUGGCCUCCAGUGGGACCACAGACUGUGGUUUAUGUUGUGAGGUUACAGAAGUGAAUGAGGUGGCCCUAGGGAUGACGGUGAAAGAAUUGGGAUUGAAUUCCCUGUGCUGGAUGCUGGCUAAUGGCUCAUUACUCUUCGUGCUGUUUUCAAGGGAAAGACUGGACCUGUGCCUGCCUCGCUCUUUAGCCGCCAUGAGAAGAGCCAGGGGGGAAGCGGCAGGACCGUCCCCCCUCAUCCCAGUGACAUCACUGGCCUUCAGGUUGCGUAGGUUACUGUCCAGCAUAGGACUGAACUUGUUAUUCCGGCCUGGAGACGCUUCCUGCUUGACCAGCUUAGCUGUGUUCUGGGGGUUGAAGCUGGAGGGUGUUGGGGUCUGUACUGGGGAAGCUUGGGCUGGAACCUGGGAGGCUUCGUCCAUGCUGUGGAUGGAGGACAGCCUUGUUGGCUUUGGAGGCGGGGUCUUCAGGGCUUUCAGAGCAGCUUGUCUCAUGUCUAUAGGGGGCUGUGGAGGGGCAAACUUUGGGGGCUCAGUAAAAUCAGGGACUGGUGUUGGUAUAGAAAUGGACAAAGAUGAACUAGAAGCACUGGAGGAAGUUGACGGGGGUUUCGGGGGGCGCAUUAGUGGAGGUUUCAGGGAGGUGAAAUCCUCGUACUCUUUAGACAGAACCACUGAUGGAGGUUUUGGAGGGGGCAUGGAGGGAGGCUGA